GACGAACGCUGGCGGCGUGCUUAACACAUGCAAGUCGAACGAAGUGGCGAACGGGUGAGUAACGCGUAAUCAACCUGCCCUCCAGAGGGGGACAAAAGUUGGAAACAACCGCUAAUACCGCAUACAGAAGGCGGGGAUUGAGGCUGAUUAGCUAGUUGGAGUGGUAACGGCCCAUCAAGGCGAUGAACAGUAGCCGGUCUGAGAGAAUGAACGGCCACAUUGGGACUGAGACACGGCCCAGACUCCUACGGGAGGCAGCAGUGGGGAGUCUUCCGCAAUGGACGAAAGUCUGACGUAGCAACGCCGCGUGAGUGAUUACGGCCUUCGGGUUGGAAAGCUCUGUUAAUCGGGACGCGGUACCGGAAUAGAAAGCCACGGCUAACUACGUGCCAGCAGCCGCGGUAAUUC
rnacentral:rRNA from 1 species